rnacentral:rRNA from 1 species
UGUCGUCAGCUCGUGUUGUGAAAUGUUGGGUUAAGUCCCGCAACGAGCGCAACCCUUAUCCUUUGUUGCCAGCGGUCCGGCCGGGAACUCAAAGGAGACUGCCAGUGAUAAACUGGAGGAAGGUGGGGAUGACGUCAAGUCAUCAUGGCCCUUACGACCAGGGCUACACACGUGCUACAAUGGCGCAUACAAAGAGAAGCGACCUCGCGAGAGCAAGCGGACCUCAUAAAGUGCGUCGUAGUCCGGAUUGGAG